rnacentral:lncRNA from 1 species
UGAAAAUGCCCAGCCUACAGAAUCUGAAAAGGAAAUUUAUAAUUAAUUAGGUGAAUGUAGUAUUAAAAGAUGCAAACGGCAUCUUGGAGGACUUACAGUCAUACAGAGGAGAUGACCAUGAAAUACAAGAGGUAAUCCAGCAGCCAGCAGAUGAGAAGUUGCAAGAGAAGGCAUGGGGUGCAUUUGUUCCACUGGGAGGCAAAUUAAAGAAAUUUUAUGAAUUGUCUCAGCGGUUAGAAGCAGCAUUAAAAGGUCUUCAGGGAGCCUUGACAAGUACGCCAUAUUCUCCCACCCAGCAUCUAGUGCAAGAACAGGCUUCUGCUAAAGAGUUUUCAGAAGUUCUUCAUUUCACACUCUGGUUUGAUGAACUCAGGAUGACAAAUCCUGCUAUACAGAAUGAUUUCAGCUAUUAUAGAAGAACAUUGAGUUGUAUAAGGAUUAAUAAUGUUAAUUUGAGAAUGGACUAAUACAGUAGGUAUCAUAAGACUCUAUGAUUAAGUAUAUUCAGUGGGAGCAUUUGCCAAAACUUCCAAACUUGGUAUGAAAGGUUGUACCAAAGUUCUUAAGGACCAACCUCCUAAUAGUGUAAAAUAUCUUCUAAAUGCUCUCCGGUACACAAUAAAACAUUUGAAUGAUCAGACUAACUCCAAGCAAAUUAAAUCCAUGAUGCAAUAACAGUUCGGGAAUAAGCACCUGUUGUAGACAGAAGACAGUAUUCUGCACUGACUGAGAAUACAGUUUUUUAGUGAUUGCAAUUACCAUGACAUUUUUCUUGCUUUUAUGUCUUCCUCUGUUCCUCUUCUCUCCUUUAAGAUCAUGUUCUUAUUCCUAAGACUUCUUCUCUAUACCCAAAUUAGUAAAGUUAUACUCUAAAGAGAUAUUGUCCUUUCAAACAGGUAACCUACAGCAGCUAAUUAUUGGGGUCUCUACUGAGAAAAAUUCUGUGACUUUUAUCUAAAUAUUUUCAAAUGUGAAUUUUGGGGAAACUAAUAUUUAUUUGCUUCUCCUACAUGGCAAAACUGCCAAUUCUGCUAUUUGAAAACCCCCAAUGACUUUAUUUUCUACUAUCACUUUUUUCAUGUGCUGCCACAAAAUGAAAAUGUUUAAAUAUGUUGUACAAAUGGUAGCCAACACAAACUUUUUUGUAGUUUUUAAGAGUUUAAAGUUUUAAUUUUACAUUUUGACCUUUUUUGUAAGGGUGUAUGUUAUGUGUUUCACCUUUGUUAACAUUAAAAACUGUGAUGUGUGCAUAGAAUAUUAC